UACGUAGGGUGCUAGCGUUGUUCGGAAUCAUUGGGCGUAAAGCGCGUGUAGGUGGUUAGUUAAGUCGAUUGUGAAAUCCCUGGGCUCAACCCAGGAAGUGCAGUCGAAACUAGCUAGCUAGAAGAUGGUAGAGGAAGGUGGAAUUCCAAGUGUAGAGGUGAAAUUCGUAGAUAUUUGGAGGAAUACCUGUGGCGAAGGCGGCUUUCUGGACCAUUCUUGACACUGAGACGCGAAAGCGUGGGUAGCAAACAGG
rnacentral:rRNA from 1 species